rnacentral:rRNA from 1 species
GAUGAACGCUAGCUACAGGCUUAACACAUGCAAGUCGAGGGGAAACGAUAUUGGAAGCUUGCUUCCGAUAGGCGUCGACCGGCGCACGGGUGAGUAACGCGUAUCCAACCUGCCCACCACGUUGGGGAUAACCUUGCGAAAGUAAGACUAAUACCCAAUGAUAUCUCUAGACGACAUCUGAAAGGGAUUAAAGAUUUAUCGGUGAUGGAUGGGGGUGCGUCUGAUUAGCUUGUUGGCGGGGUAACGGCCCACCAAGGCGACGAUCAGUAGGGGUUCUGAGAGGAAGGUCCCCCACAUUGGAACUGAGACACGGUCCAAACUCCUACGGGAGGCAGCAGUGAGGAAUAUUGGUCAAUGGGCGAGAGCCUGAACCAGCCAAGUAGCGUGCAGGACGACGGCCCUAUGGGUUGUAAACUGCUUUUAUAAGGGAAUAAAGUGAGUCUCGUGAGACUUUUGCAUGUACCUUAUGAAUAAGGACCGGCUAAUUCCGUG